rnacentral:rRNA from 1 species
GACGAACGCUGGUGGCGUGCUUAACACAUGCAAGUCGAACGGAAAGGCCCUGCUUUUGUGGGGUGCUCGAGUGGCGAACGGGUGAGUAACACGUGAGUAACCUGCCCUUGACUUUGGGAUAACUUCAGGAAACUGGGGCUAAUACCGGAUAGGAGCUCCUGCUGCAUGGUGGGGGUUGGAAAGUUUCGGCGGUUGGGGAUGGACUCGCGGCUUAUCAGCUUGUUGGUGGGGUAGUGGCUUACCAAGGCUUUGACGGGUAGCCGGCCUGAGGGGGUGACCGGCCACAUUGGGACUGAGAUACGGCCCAGACUCCUACGGGAGGCAGCAGUGGGGAAUAUUGCACAAUGGGCGGAAGCCGGAUGCAGCAACGCCGCGUGCGGGAUGACGGCCUUCGGGUUGUAAACCGCUUUCGCCUGUGACGAAGCGUGAGUGACGGUAAUGGGUAAAGAAGCACCGGCUAACUACGUG